UACAGAGGUGGCAAGCGUUGUUCGGAAUUACUGGGCGUAAAGGGCGCGUAGGCCGGCCUACUAAGUCAGACUGAAAUCCCCCGGCUUAGCCUGGGAACUGCGUCCUGAUACUGGAAGGCUUGAGUAUGGGAGAGGGAUGUAGAAUUCCAGGUGUAGCGGUGAAAUGCGUAGAUAUCUGGAGGAAUACCGGUGGCGAAGGCGGCAUCCUGGACCAUUACUGACGCUGAGGCGCGAAAGCUAGGGGAGCAAACCGGG
rnacentral:rRNA from 1 species